GGAGUCUGCAGCAGCAAGGCAUCCCGGUCGGGGAUAUCGCCCCCGAUGUGAUAGGGCAGACCGCAGUUGGCGAAGCUGACAAACUCGCCCCGCUCGAACAUCACGAUCUCUGCCUCUUCACUCAAACGACGAGCGCGAGCCGCCGCCGAUGCGCCCCCCGCGACACCAC
rnacentral:antisense_RNA from 1 species